rnacentral:rRNA from 1 species
UGGGGGAUAUUGCACAAUGGGCGAAAGCCUGAUGCAGCGACGCCGCGUGGGGGAUGAAGGCUUUCGGGUUGUAAACCUCUUUCGCUAUCGAACAAGGCCCGCUUAGGGUGGGUUGAGGGUAGGUGGAGAAGAAGCGCCGGCUAACUACGUGCCAGCAGCCGCGGUAAUACGUAGGGCGCGAGCGUUGUCCGGAAUUAUUGGGCGUAAAGGGCUUGUAGGCGGCUUGUUGCGCCUGCUGUGAAAACGCGGGGCUUAACUUCGCGCGUGCAGUGGGUACGGGCAGGCUUGAGUGUGGUAGGGGUGACUGGAAUUCCAGGUGUAGCGGUGGAAUGCGCAGAUAUCUGGAGGAACACAGAUGGCGAAGGCAGGUAACUGGGCCAUUACUGACGCUGAGGAGCGAAAGCAUGGGUAGCGAACAGG